CUGGGUGGCAAUUUCCUUGGAAUCAAAUCCUAAUGCCUGACAAUGUCUCUCUCCUAAACAGUUUUUAGCCUCUACGAAGAAAGACUCCAAAUAAUAGCGAUACUAUAUAAAUGAGAACAAUUCUGGACAAUGACACUGCUCAAUUUUAAGCAUUCUGUGAAUUUCCUAUUACAUCAGUUUCAUGAUUCAGCAUUUUCGAUUUCACUUAUUUACAGUAAUAUAUGGCGAGGUAACCCAAGCUUUCUGCAGGAUCCUGGAACAUAAGGUAGGCUGGACAGGAAGGGUGUCGCCUUCAGUUAAAUUUAUUAUUGUUUGGGAGAAUUCAAAGCAGAAGAAAGAAGGCCAUCAAAGGAACUGAGGAAUAUUCCCCCACCUUGUUCUGAGUGUUUAAAUUAUUCUGGUAUUUUAAGUGAGCUGGUUUUGAAAAAUAGGUUACUGCCAUUUAGUAGAUGACUGAAACCGAAGCCAAGAAGAGUGCAAAUGGUAAACUGACGUGCCUAAGCCAAGCGUGUUCUCUGAAAUGACAAUGUUCAAGACGCAGCUAAAGUCACCACUCUGGCGGUAAGCGUGUUACAAAGAACUCGAUUUCUUUCUGGCAUCCGCAACUUGGCUGGAGUGACCACGGAGGAGUUGAAGAGCGCUGGAAACGCGAGGGUUCGUCGCGGGUCACCUGAGGGCUGUGGCCCUGGGUCAGGCUCUUGGCUUCGAGUCACUCAGCACAAGGGGCAGAAGCAGCCUCAUCCUACAGAAGAAGGAACGGAGUCCUUUGAAAGACCCCAGGUCCACAGUCAUGAGGUGGCCAAGCCGGUUUGGUUUCAGGCAGCUUUGCUCAAGGACUCCAGCUUCCACCACUACACUCCCCUCCUCCUGUGACAACGGGUGGUGGAGAAGCAGCAGGUGUCCUGAGUCAAGCCUCUAGAUGACUCCAACCCUGUCGCCGUCCGACUAAAACUGCUUGAGACUCCCCAAGCAAGACCCGCCCACCUGAGUCCCGUCAAUUUGCUGAACCAUGAAAGGUAAAAAUAAAUUGUUGUUUUGAACCACUAAGUUUAGGGGUAGUUUUUUGACCACAAUGGGUAACUGAAACAGUGCCCUAGGCUAAUAUUACUUUUAUAACUGAACGGUAUUGUUAGCUUCAAGCUCCCUGGCAUUCAAAGCAGAAAGGGGAGCAAGAUGGAUUGUGUGCCCUUCUUAUUAUCUUGAGUGUUAUGAUUUACCUGAAUGGGUAGUUCAUCCGACUCAUCUCCUUUUGGUCAAAUCAGAAUGAAAAUUAAACUAUCUUCCUUACAUGAGAAUCUCUCCUGUCUUUACCAAAAUUACAGUUGUGCAAAUUCUAUAAUCUGCCUUGCUAGAACAAACCAAAUAUUACAGUUGUCACUAACGAGAAAGUGUUCUUGCAUCUGGCCCAAAUCUUUCAGACUGUAGCUCAAGCCCAUUUUCUCUUGUUUGGUUCUCAGCGCAUCUUCUGCCUCCUGCCUCAUUCCCAUCCCAAAUUAAGUCACAAACGGGCUCAGUGUCUCCGGGGUCCUAAGCAGCCAAAAUUAAUGAUUAAAAUAGAAAUGCUGAAAAUAGUUGAAACUGAAGCAGAUUGGAUGAUUUAUUCAAACCUUCAGGAAAAAUUACUAUUCAGCCCAGAAUUGGAAAUUAGACUUGUGGUUCCUAAGAAUGCAACACUUCCCUGGUGCUAACCCCCCAAAAGGGAAAGGAAAAAAAAAAAAACAUGUAAAAUACAUACAUGGCAGUCUGUCCUCUAGAACCCAUGCUCUGGGAGGUCAGGAACCAUAUCUGCCUUCUGAAUAGUGCAAUGCUUAAUGCCUUCCUGCUGCUUAUUAAAGCUUUUCUUCAUUAAGUGACCUUACAAGUCUAUGAUAAUAAAAAACAUACAGCUGACUAUAAAUCAGUGAUUUCCAUUCGCUCGAUUGUGACCUCAGUGAACAGGCAUUAUCUGCCUGCUGGUCCUGUCCUGGGAAGACUGGGUUAGCACAUGGGGUAUUUGAGGUCACCUCCCUUACUUGGAACCCAGGCAACCCUAGGAAGGUAGUGAAUUUCAUCCUUGAGUCCUUGACCUCAUUUUCUAUACUCUUCCCCUCAUUUGUCUUCACACCCCUAAACUGGACUUCCGAGUCCCCCUAGUGAACGGCUCUGUGGGUAGCCGAAAGGUUAGCAGAAAGGACCAGGCUCAAAUCCCAGCUGAAUUCCUUAUCCCACCUUUGCAUAAAUGCUUUCCAAUCCCCAAGACAUUUCACAUCCGUAUUUCAGUUCAUUGUCUCAACAAUUUCUGUAGAAUCCCGUGAAAUAAUCCUGUUAUGGGCGGAAUUGUGUUGUCUAAAAAGAUAUGUUGUGAGUCCUAACCCCUGGUGCCUGCAAACAUUUAUUUAGAAAUAGGGUCUUUGCAGAUGUAGUCAAGUGAAGAUGAGAUCAUGGGGAGGGCCUUGAUCCAAUAGGACCAGUGUCCUUACAAGAAGAUGGACAUUUGCUCAUAGACAUGCGCUGAGGGAUGACAAUGUGAAGACACAGAAGGAAGAAGGCCAUAUGAAGACAGGGGCAGGGAUUGGAGCUAUGUUACCAUAAGCCAAGGAGCACCUGGGGCUCCCAGAAGCUGGAAGAGGAAAGGAAGGAUCUUUGUCUAGUGGCUUCAGAGGGAGCACGGCUUUGCCAGUGCCUUGAUUUUGGACUUCUACCUUCCCGAACUGUGAAACAACAAAUUACUGUUCCAGUUUGGGGCAUGUCAUUUCAACAGCCCUGGAAAACUAAUAUACAGGUGUUGUCAUUUUCCCUAUACUUUUUAAUGCAAUGUCAUUAGGUACCUACUGCGUACCGGACUCUGAGCUGAGCUCUAGAACUCAGAUCCAAAGGUCCAGGUUGAUAUAAAGCAAAUCAAAGACCCUAGCCCUCUGAUGAGUUUCUAUGCUCAUUCUCUUAUGUCUCAGGCUCUCUCCCCCAACGUCCUCACGCCCAGAGACCAUCCCCGUCCAUCCCCACUGUCUGGUCUGUGCCCAUCCCUGAACUGUCUGAGAGGUAGGCAAUGCUGGGUCUGGAAGCAGCUUGGAGGGUCCGAUCCGGCCCCUUGGUGUUCCAGCUGCUCCUCCUGAGGGGCAGAGGGGUCAGGCUACCAGUAGAAAGGCAACACCGAACUCCAACACAUCUCCUCACUCCCUGACUCUGAUUAAUUCACGUUAUGAAUAAAUUCAACAAACAACAAAUGUUUGUUGAAUGAACACUAAAUUAUUAAUCACUGAUAACGAGAAUGUGUUCUACCUCCUGGGGGUAUUUGGAUGUGAAGCGAUGCCUGAACCCAGGGACUCGAAUUUCUGACCGUGGAAUGUGGGACGGAAGGUUGGGGCAGGCAAAGCUGGACAGGGAGAUUUGGGGGCAAGGGUAGGGUCUUCCGCUGACCUGGUAUCUCGGAUCCUUAGAGCAACUUCAGUCUCUGCUCAGGAUAGAACUGGCUACCUUGGAGAAUUCUGGAGGGGGCUGAGGAAGAAAUUGCUCUCCUCUGUACUUGGAGCGGUUGGUGAAGGGCUGUGACCAAUGCCCUCUUGGAUGAAGAAGGAAGCACUGGCCUCAUCAUAUGCAUGGACCACAACUGCUGUUUUAAACUCCAAUGCUGCUGAACAAUUCAGAAAUAGAUCCAUUAUAGGUCUGCUUUAGCCCCAGGGCUUUAACACAGGUCACUAGAAAAUCCAAGAUUGCACAGUAAUUCAAACUCUUAAGAGGGAAAGGAAAAAAAAAAUUCUCUUCAGCACUCCUGCCCCCAGAGCCCCUCCCUCCAGCGUAACAGGGAGCCCCUCUUCAUUUCUGGGGUGCUCUGGAAUAAAUAGCUCUUAUGUUGAACUUGAAAUCUAAUUUUUUCUCCAGCUAUUAAUUGAGAAGAGCAGCUCAUUUUACCUCUUAUGCUCUGAAGCAAGACUACAGUGUAAACAAACUGGGUCGGGUUUAGCAGGAUGGACGUGAACUGUUCCCCAAUUUCCCUUAAUCGCUGGUAAAAGAACGACUUGGAUUUGGACGUCAACAUUCAAUAAAGCAGUUAUGUCCCUCCCUCAAACGCGAUCUAAAUUAGUCCGCUGUUCCCUCAAAGAGAGUCCAACGAGCCUCCAAAUCGCGCUCUUCAAUCGCAACCUCCUUGUUUUUGUGCUAGCCCUUGAGAAGAGUCGGGAUGGUCGGAGGGAUUUGAUUUGAUUUAUAUUGAUUUCUAGAGUAUCAGGGAAUCUCUUGUUUCGCUUGAAACAGAUCAGGGAAAAGGGGUUAGUAAACAAGGGUUUUCUUGAUUACUGAUCACCACACCGUGCUCAGCAUUUUCAUGAGCCUGGCUUCUCAUUUUCACAGCGCGUUAGAAUCAUCGAAUUCUUAAUCUCGCCCUAGAGUUCGGAGGAGCUUAUGACGCCCGUUGAAGUUAAUGAAGGCUUUUACCUGUGGAUCUGGCGCUACAUCACUCUGAUUGACAGCGUGUCCACAAUAUGGUAGGCACUGAUAGAAUGGACAGGGGGGGAAAGAAUUAAACAGAAGGAAAUUAAGAAGAAGAAGAAGGAGAAGACGCUGGAAACGAGGAGGGGCGAGAAACCAAAGGAAAUUGGAACUUCAAAACACCUCGUUAGGAAAAUGGGGCAGUUAAGGAAGAACUCACCAAGUAAUCUGCUUAAACUUUAAUUAAUUAUUCAUUUAUAUAUAUUUAUGUGGCACACUUUCUCUAGGGAACCCAAUGUGCUUUGCAAACAUAUGAAAUAAUUAACUCUCUCAAAUCUGAGUGAAGUGGAGAGGGAACAAAAUUACUCCAGAAAAGGACCAGCGGAUUGCUGAGUGAUGAAUGUGUCUCACUUUGAAGAGGCAAUCCCAUGUGAUACCCACCAGUGACCACAUAACAAAAGACAUCUUCUGGGGGCUAAGAUCCUUAUGGUGAUCUGUCCUAGCACCUUCCAGAGUAAGCAGCGUUUGCUAAUCAGAUAAAUGAUGAUACAUAGAGGGACAAACAGGCAGACACAUAAAGUGAGGUGAAUUAUGUAGAAAUCCAGUAUAUUUUGAGGAAGGGUGUUAGCAGGAGAAAGUCAAAUGGAGUGCAUUUAAAAAAAAAAUACUGCCUUCAAGAU